CAGCCAUGCCGCGUGUAUGAAGAAGGCCUUCGGGUUGUAAAGUACUUUCAGCAGUGAGGAAGGUGGGUAUGGUUAAUAGCAUAUUCAUUUGACGUUAGCUGCAGAAGAAGCACCGGCUAACUCCGUGCCAGCAGCCGCGGUAAUACGGAGGGUGCGAGCGUUAAUCGGAAUUACUGGGCGUAAAGCGCAUGCAGGUGGUUUGUUAAGUCAGAUGUGAAAGCCCGGGGCUCAACCUCGGAAUUGCAUUUGAAAACUGGCAAACUAGAGUACUGUAGAGGGGGUAGAAUUUCAGGUGUAGCGGUGAAAUGCGUAGAGAUCUGAAGGAAUACCGGUGGCGAAGGCGGCCCCCUGGACAGAUACUGACACUCAGAUGCGAAAGCGUGGGGAGCAAACAGGAUUAGAUACCCUGGUAG
rnacentral:rRNA from 1 species